rnacentral:misc_RNA from 1 species
UAUUAUGGCAGCAAUGGGAAGAAUGGUGAUGACCCUGAUGCUCCUUAGUGUCCGAAUUUACAUUAAUGGCAACAUGGCCAUUGCCAUUGAUGUGAUGAGAAUGGGCAUCCCCAUUUUGUGAGUUUGAAUUCCUUGCCAUUUGCAUCAAUCCAAUCCCCUCAGAAUGAGCAGAAUCUUCAAUAUACUCCACAUCUUCAUUGUAGCCCAAUAUCAAGAAAUCUGAACAAUUCUUUCUG